GGAGGCCUGGCUGGAGAUGAACCCGGGGUACGAGGUGGCUCCGCGCUCCGACAGCGAGGAGAGCGGCUCCGAGGAGGAGGAGGAGGAGGAGGAGGAGGAGCAGCCCCAGCCGGCCCAGCCCGCCCUGCCCGUGGAGGAGAAAAAGAAAAUUCCGGACCCCGACAGCGACGACGUCUCGGAGGUGGACGCCCGACACAUC